AGAGUUUGAUUCUGGCUCAGGAUGAACGCUGGCGGCGUGCAUAACACAUUCAAGUCGAACGGUGAAGUCCUUCGGGGAUGGAGCAGUGGCGGACGGGUGAGUAACGCGUGAGCAACCUGCCGUAUAGUGGGGGAUAGCACAGGGAAACUUGUGCUAAUACCGCAUAACGCAUAGGGACCGCAUGAUCUUUAUGCCAAAGAUUUAUUGCUGUACGAUGGGCUCGCGUAUGAUUAGACAGUUGGCAGGGUAACGGCCUACCAAAUCAACGAUCAUUAGCCGAACUGAGAGGUUGAACGGCCACAUUGGAACUGAGAAACGGUCCAGACUCCUACGGGAGGCAGCAGUGGGGAAUAUUGGGCAAUGGGCGAAAGCCUGACCCAAGCGACGCCGCGUGAGGGAAGAAGGUCUUCGGAUUGUAAACCUCUUUCAGCAGGGAAGAAGGAAGUGACGGUACCUGCAGAAGAAGUCACGGCUAACUACGUGCCAGCAGCUGC
rnacentral:rRNA from 1 species